CCCAACCCUUCCUCAACUCAUCCCCAACCCUUCCUCAACUCAUCCCCAACCCUUCCUCAACUCCCCAACCCUUCCUCAACUCCCCAACCCUUCCUCAACUCCCCAACCCUUCCUCAACUCCUCAACCCUUCCUCAACUCCUCAACCCUUCCUCAACUCAUUCCCAACCCUUCCUCAACUCAUUCCCAACCCUUCCUCAACUCAUUCCCAACCCUUACUCGAUUCCCUAACUCAUCCAGAAGUGUUGUAUGGAGCUCCAUUAUUCCAGAAAACACACUUCUUUGCUCCACAGCUUAAUUUUUAUAGUUUAUUUUGGACCAUUGUUAGUAAAUUUCUUCCACACUGUAACCCCCGGCCUUCGUUAUCCCUUGUUUAAAGUUACAAGUGUAUGACCUUGUUGUGACCUCUCUCUGUGCGUGACUGCAGUUUCUUGCCGUGGCAGAAAUGAUGGGAUUUAGAUUUUACAGGCUUUACUUCCUGAGGACGAAUAAUAGGGUGGAAAUUAAAGCGUAGGCGUCGGCUGGAGGGUUCCUCACCCCGGCUCCGGGCUCUGGAGGUGACGCUGUGCAGAUCAGGACGAGGCCCGGUCUGCCAGUCAUCUGCUAACCAUCCUGCAGACAGCCUCCCAGGUUCAGGGGAAGCGCCGUCCCCACCGGGGACCGCUAUUACCGUCCGGUCCAGCCGGUCCGUCUGGAGAUGCGGCUCAGAGACGACCCGUCUCCCCUGAUGCUGCUGCUGCUGCUGCUCUGUUUCUGCAGACGCUGGAGGUCAGGAUGAGGUACCGCCGUCUUCCUUUAAGGCUGAACGUUAAAUAUCUGACAUACACCACGGCGAUUCGCUCUGACAAGAAAAUAGAAUUAUUCUUAUAAUAACCAAAACGCAAUUAGCAACAGCAGCAGCUAUUAUCUAACCCCAUCAUCAUCAACCUGUCAUUAUUAACCCCCUCAUUAUUAACCCCAUCAUUAUUAACCCCAUCACUGCAGCCCUGAGAUCACCAGACUGUUCUCAGCCUGACUGUAGAAAACCUCCCCAGAUGUUUGACGCUCCUUUUAAUGAACACAUGUUAAAUUCAGUUGUGCUAAUUGCUUAAACAGAUCUGCAAUUCAAUGUUCAACGUUUCUACUGUUAAAAAAAAAAAUAUAUAUAUAUAUAUAUACAUAUGAGAGCAAAUGUGCACGAGUGUGUACGUGUGAGAGCUUGCACGAGAGUGGGUGAGCAAGAGCAAGAGUGUGCACGAGUGUGUGAGUGUGUACGCGAGAGCAAGAGUGUGCAGAAAGGAAGAUUAGUGCGAGAGUCAGGGAGUGGACGGUGGUGAUAAAGUCACGGGGUUCGAGUCGUGCUGAUGGCUGAUUAGACUUUUAAUAUUUUGAAGAAAAUUUACUAAAAUAUUUGUUAUAAACAUUAAUAUAAGCACUUUAUUAUAAUUUUAUGAUAUAUAAUUAUAUAAUAUAUGACCCAUUCAUAUUUAUAUGGUAAUAACACAGUAGUGGAAAUACACCCUUUUAGGAAAAAUUAAGUUUUCUCUAUAAUAAUAAUAUUAAUAUCAGUCCCUCUGAUAGCAGAACAUGAAACAGUGAAGGAAAAAUAUAAAUAAAGGCGGACAAUCAAGAAUAAUCUGACAGUUUUAAUUUAAUAAUUAAAGAAUAUAUGAAUUUAAUAUACAGUAUAUUACAGUGCUGCUCAGUUUAUUUAUCUAAACAGAUUUACUGAUUCUCUGAAUUCUGAUUUUAAAUUACUUUAAAAUAAUUAAAAACAACUUAAAUUGGUGCUGUUUUGAAGAGUGAGAUGUUUGGUGAUGGAGAGUGAGGUGUUGGGUGUUGGAGAGUGAGGUGGUGGGUGUUGGAGAGUGAGGUGUUGGGUUUUGGAGAGUGAGAUGUUGGGUUUUGGAGAGUGAGGUGUUGGGUGUUGGAGAGUGAGAUGUUUGGUGAUGGAGAGUGAGGUGUUUGGUGAUGGAGAGUGAGGUGUUUGGUGUUGGAGAGUGAGGUGGUGGGUGUUGGAGAGUGAGAUGUUGGGUGUUGGAGAGUGAGAUGUUGGGUGUUGGAUAGUGAGAUGUUGGGUGAUUGAGAGUGAGGUGGUGGGUGAUUGAGAGUGAGGUGUUGGGUGUUGGAGAGUGAGGUGUUGGGUGUUGGAGAGUGAGAUGUUGGGUGUUGGAGAGUGAGAUGUUGGGUGAUUGAGAGUGAGGUGGUGGGUGAUUGAGAGUGAGGUGUUGGGUGAUUGAGAGUGAGAUGUUGGGUGUUGGAGAGUGAGGUGUUGGGUGUUGGAGAGUGAGAUGUUGGGUGUUGGAGAGUGAGAUGUUGGGUGAU